GACGAACGCUGGCGGCGUGCCUAAUACAUGCAAGUCGAACGCAGUGGGGACGGGUGAGUAACACGUGGGUAACCUCCCAUCAGAGGAGAUAACACGUGGAAACAGGUGCUAAACUGAUACGGAUGGAUGGACCAGCGGUGCAUUAGCUAGUUGGUGGGGUAACGGCGCACCAAGGCCACGAUGACUAGCCGACCUGAGAGGGUGACAGGCCACACUGUGACUGAGACACGGCCCAGACUCCUACGGGAGGAAGCAGUAGGGAAUCUUCGGCAAUGGACGAAAGUCUGACCCAGCAACGCCGCGUGAGUGAAGAAGGUUUUCGGAUCGUAAAACUCUGUUGGUAGAGAAGCGGUAUCUAACCAGAAAGCCACGGCUAACUACGUGCCAGCAGCCGCGGUAAUUC
rnacentral:rRNA from 1 species